rnacentral:rRNA from 1 species
UGGACCUACGGGGGGCAGCAGUGGGGAAUAUUGGGCAAUGGGCGAAAGCCUGACCCAGCAACGCCGCGUGAAGGAAGAAGGCUUUCGGGUUGUAAACUUCUUUUGACAGGGAAGAGCAGAAGACGGUACCUGUCGAAUAAGCCACGGCUAACUACGUGCCAGCAGCCGCGGUAAUACGUAGGGAGCGAGCGUUGUCCGGAAUUACUGGGUGUAAAGGGAGCGUAGGCGGGGAUGCAAGUUGGGUGUCAAAACUACCGGCUCAACUGGUAGUCGCACUCAAAACUGCAGCUCUUGAGUGAAGUAGA